UCUUUUUUUUUUUUUUAACAUUGUAACGGUCACCCUACACAGUUGAUAGGCAACUGUAUUGUCCUCCCUUAGGAGAUACUACUGGCCAAAUAAUUAAAACUAAAUAAGUCAGUAAGGGUGACUGACAGUAAAACAGGGUCGUCACAAUCCGUCAAUUUAACUAAACAAACUCUGGUUUAUUCCAAGGAACACAAAGCUUGACAAAAAGAAUAAGACUAAACAAUUACAGAAGAAAACAACUCAAUUAGGGACAGAGUGACAAGGAAGAGAAUAUAGUGUAAACAAACCCAGGAAAACAGAUUAUAAAUGAAGAUACACAGCAGAGCUUAAGAAUAUAACCACAACAAUUUAACAAUUACUGACACAGAGGAUGAUUAAUAUACAGAAUGAAUAAACAAUGCAACACAAAAUAUAAAUCAACAAAAUAGUAAUGAAGUCCCAAAGAGUAACAAACGAAAAAAAACAACAACGAUGACAAAGUCAACGGAAAGAGCUCACCAAACCGGUAUGGAAGUCCAGUUAAUUACUUGGGAUGAAUGUGAAUGAUGAUGUAGAGGUCUUCAGGAGAUGAAAAACAUUGAGAGCGAUGAAAUGGAUGUUUGAAGAAAACUGAGGUUGCAAACAGUCCAGAACAGAUGCACAAAAACGUACAACCACACACUCCAGCAAAAAACACAAAAGAAACUACCCCACCUAAUUAAGCAAAAAACGGUAACUAGACAAUAAACUAAAGCAGCAGACAGAUUGGUGGCCCGUACGGGGACACUUUAGUGUCCUAAUAAAUUUACUCCCCAAAUUAUCUGGUUAAAAUUUAAAAGUGCACAAUGUCUGACAAAGAGAAUCACUGGGAUUAGUUAGUUAGUGGGGUAGUUUCUUUUGUGUUUUUUGCUGGAGUGUGUGGUUGUAUGUUUUUGUGCAUCUGUUCUGGACUGUUUGCAACCUCAGUUUUCUUCAAACAUCCAUUUCAUCCAUUUUAUUUGGCCAGUAGUAUCUCCUAAGGGAGGACAGUACAGUUGCCUAUUAACUGUGUAGGGUGACCGUUACAACAUUUCCUAAAAUGUCUGUUUUGAUUAUACUCUGUGUCACGGACGGCUUUGGAAUUUGGUGUCAUUUAGAUCUGUGCUUCUCAACUGGGGGGCGUGUCAAACUGUCCAGGGGGCGUGUCACACUCUCCAAGGGCAUGUCAAACUGUCCAGGGGGUGUGUCACACUGUCCAGGGGGUGUGUCAUACUGUCCAGGGGGGCGUGUCACACUGUCCAGGGGGCGUGCCACAUUGUCCAGGGGUGUGCCAUACUGUCCAGGGGCGUGUCACACUGUCCAGGGGGCGUGUCACACUGUCCAGGGGGCGUGUCACACUGUCCAGGGGGCGUGUCACAUUGUCCAGGGGCGUGUCACGCUGUCCAGGGGGGCGUGUCACACUGUCCAGGGGGGUGUCACAUUGUCCAGGGGCGUGUCAUACUGUCCAGGGGGCGUGUCACAUUGUUUGAUUUGUUUUUACUGAAAGGUCGAAUCAUGUUCAUAGCUUCAGGUUUAUUCUUUUUUUUUCGUGUGGAAGAGAAACUGCAGGUACUUUUUGUAACUGUGUCGUGCUACUUACUAUGUGUCGCACUGAUUUAGAUUUCUUUGUUUCUGAUAAACUGGUGCUGCAGACUUUCAUGUUUAUAUUGUGUAUAAUUAACGGUGGCAAUGAAGUAUGUCAUGUACAGUGUUUUAGUAAAAUACUGGGAUGUUUCAUGUGUAGCGUGUUUCUCUUUGACUCAUUCCUCUUUUUUCUCUCAAUGUGAGAUGUUUUAAUUCUAAGCUGAGGUUGAAAUGUUGCAUCGCUGUUGGUCAGUCCUGUUUAAUCUCAGGUUAUCUCACCCCUAGCCGACGCGAUUCCAGCUCGAGCUCUUCAUCUUUCCACUUCACUUCCCAUUGUGAGUCACUGCUGUCAUUGGAAUAGGAGCUUCCCAUUGUGAAAGUCACUGCUGUCAUUGGAAUAGGAGCUUCCCAUUGUGAAAGUCACUGCUGUCAUUGGAAUAGGAGCUUCCCAUUGUGAAAGUCACUGCUGUCAUUGGAAUAGGAGCUUCCCAUUGUGAAAGUCACUGCUGUCAUUGGAAUAGGAGCUUCCCAUUGAGAAAGUCACUGCUGUCAUUGGAAUAGGAGCUUCCCAUUGUGAAAGUCACUGCUGUCAUUGGAAUAGGAGCUUCCCAUUGUGAAAGUCACUGCUGUCAUUGGAAUAGGUGCUUCCAAAUGUGAAAGUCACUGCUGUCAUUGGAAUAGGAGCUUCCCAUUGUGAAAGUCACUGCUGUCAUUGAAAUAGGAGCUUCCCAUUGUCUGUGUGUCACCAUAGCCUUGAUGUGGACAAUGGGAAGCUUUAGGAUGAUCGGGGUGACUGUACUGUCAAAAACAAUAAUAAUAAUAAAGAAGAUUGGCAGAAGACGCUCUCUGUCCAGCAUCUUGAAGCCAUGAUGGUACCAGCGCUGCACUGAGCGGGAGUCCCAGCCAGGAAAGGCAGGAACUCGGGACCUCCUCUGAGGGCUGCUGUCUGAAGGAUAAUCCCAGGAAAUACAGGCAGGGUUUUGGCCGGAAAAGCCCUGAAAUGCAAAGCAUCUGUCAUGGUGCUGUUUCUCAGGAGAGACUUUCCCAGCACUCGCUGAGAUUUUACUCCACGCACCAAAAAGUGAAGCAAAUCAGAUAAACAUUGUUGCAGAUGAGGGGUUGAGAGGUACAAACCAGGUCCUGGAUUGCAUGUGGGCAGAUAUUCAAAAAGAAUGUUAUUAUACUGAACUGGGAGCCGACAGACUGGAAAACAACACAUGUGGGUUUCCUGGCUGUGAAAUAGGGGCAAUCAAAUACAGAAUAUAUCUAUAUACUACUCAGCAGAAACAAACAAAAAACAAGAAAAACCAAGGCUGCUUUUGUAUAGAUCUUUCCAGUUUGUAGAAGAGCUUUCUGGAGUUAGUGUGCCUGUGCGCUGUUCAUAUGUACAUGUACAGUUUAUAUACUAUAGUUUGCUGUCUUGGUAUAAUUUGUGGUAAUCGGUUAUGCUGUUGGAACAGUAGUAGUAAUAAUGAGUUUUCACAAGGCUUUCAGUUUCACACUGAAUGAUUUGCCUGGACUAUGAUGAAGAAAGCAACACUGUUUCCAUUCAAAUCAAUUGUACACAGAGUAAUCAGGUUUGGAUUUAGCAGGUGUUUCAUUGGAAGAAUCCAUCUCUUUUGCAGAGUGAAUGUAAAGGGUAUCCGAACUCUUGGGAGUAAAGUGUUUGCAGUAAUUGCAGGGGGGGUCUGUAUCCCAAAACAAUAUUUAUUAUUUAUUUCUUAGCAGACGCCCUUAUCCAGGGCAACUUACAAUUGUUACAAGAGAUCACAUUAUUUUUACAUACAAUUACCCAUUUAUACAGUUGGGUUUUUACUGGAGCAAUCUAGGUAAAGUACCUUGCUCAAGGGCACAGCAGCAGUGUCCCCACCUGGGACUGAACCCACGACCCUCCGGUCAAGAGUCCAGAGCCCUAUCUGUGCACAUGUCGUAAAAACACAACUCGUGUCACACACAUUUAUCAGGCUUCCCAGCGUGCGUCCACAAGCAACCAAACAAGCAAACAGCCUGCCAUGCACCCAGCGUGUGUCGGCAGUGAAAGGGUUAAGAGAAAUCCAUCCUCCGCCACACUGCAGUGCGUCCUGGUUAGCACAGGAAACCUGAGAGUUGUGUUCUUUUUAAAGGCCUGAAUCUCUGGCUUUAGGAGAAUAAAUUAAACUGAACCAGUUGGAGGCCUCAGCUGCAGUGCAAGGGCCAGACUCAUUUAUAUUUUCAUCUGGAGAGCUUAAAUCUGGCGGCCAAAAAAAAAAAAGAAAUAGGGCACUGACAUAAUUAACUGUCAGUCAAACUGUGAAAAAAGGGGGAGCAGGGGGCUGCUGGUAAUUGCAGUCCGUGUGGAUCAGCAAUAGAGGCUCCUGCACUGCGCUGUGCUCACACCUCAGAGGAACAGCACCACAGAACCCUCCAGUAAAAUCGGACCACAGUGUGCUGGUACCCAGUCUGGUCUUCAGUAGAGGGGGGCUGCAGGCAGGAUGUUCUCAAGGGCGCACUGUAAAGCUCUAAUAGAUUCUGGGAUUCUGCUGUGCAUUCAAAGGCCUUGGGCAAGCCCCUUGACCUUCAAGGGCUUUGCGUGAAGCCGUAAAUCAUGUUUAGCAGCCGUAAAGUCUGAUUUUACCGGUCACUAAAAAUGCAGAGAAUGUGAAGAAUGGUGUUCACCUGGCGCUCUGCACCCGCUGUCAGAUCUGCACUUCAUGAAUCCAUUACAAUUCAAUUGAAGUGCAAUGAACACUUGCAUUGCAUUUGUUGAGGAGAGACAGGAACACGUUCAGAGAAGGGCAAGACGAUAAGACCCUGCAUAUUCAAUCCCAGGGUCACUUUGUUUGGGAUGCCAGAGAAUGGGGUGCUAAAGCGUUAUCAUCUCACACCGCAGGUCAUCCUAGACCUAAUAGCUGAAUUGAGGGAUGAGCUGGACCCCAGUGUCAAUCUAAGGACCGCUAUCCCUGCACAGUGCUGUGUUCUCUGCACUGCCUCUGGUUCCUUUCAGACCUCAUGUCUGGAAGAACAGCCCAAUCCACCUUUUCCAGAGGCAAAUUGCUGGAAGUCAUGCUGAAAUGGGCAGGCCAAUACAUAUAAUUUCCUAAGGAGACUAGCAUAAUUGAUGUUGGCCGAGGCUUUUCCAAACAACUCAUGCUCCUCUCAACUCUCAGCUCCUCAGAAACCGUUUCUUUUCCGUGCACCAAGAGGACUUUACUGCCCUUCCUUUGACAUAUUUUUUCGUUGCUUUGUAUUUUCAUACUCCACAUGUCCUACAGCAACUACUGCUGUCUGUACUCCUAACUGUGCAGGUGCGGCCUCUAAAUAGAGCGAUCCGCUCCUUGAGACCCUCAGGAUCAAGAUUGCAGAUCAUUAUCUGUGUGUGUUCAGUAACUUGCAUUGCUCUUAAGCUUCCAUAGGGCGCAGUGCAAUUUGACAUUUGCAUCCGCAAUUACUUGCACUGCACCUAUACUUCCAUCACCCUCGGAGUCUUUUCUUUUGCCUAACCGCACAAUUCCCUGUGCUGUGCCACCCACACACACACACACGCACAGUUUGCUCUGGGCUCAAAGCUGUCCAUCGUGACAUCUCCACCUAAAUGCCAGCGAGUUUCACCAAUUGUCUCAAUUGUCAGCGUGAAGCACAAGAAUUCCAUGUGCUCCUUCUUCAAGGCAAGCCUCCCUCAGGGCAGCCCUGCUGUGUAUUUGAUCAAGUCUUUCUUCACUUGGAAGGUGUCCAGUGCAGCCCAUCAGCGUGCGGUGAUGGGAGUCAGGUCACGACAUGUGCACAAUUACACAGACAAUGCAGCAGCUUCUCCCCGAGGGCUGGAGCUGAACAAGACAGCUCUCCGUUAAUGCUGCUGGAAUCAGAUAGAAAGACUGUCGCUGAGUGAUGUGCAAAUGGAAUUCAUGAAUGUCAUUGCUGUAUGAGAGAACCUCCCACGCCGCCCUGAUCCAAAGUGGAUAAUGUACAGAUACAAACACUUCUUAAAGAUAUUUAAACAUGCUCUCUAUGUACCUUCAUGUCUACCUCCCUGUUUCUCUCAGCGGUCCAUUGUUUAAAAUAAUACUCCUAGGAACAAAAUCUAUUUGUGUCGUGUUAUUAUUUUAUCAU